CCCUAACACAAAACCAACUGUUUAUUCUUCCUUGUUUUCUCUCUAAACUCUUAAUUUAUUCUCAUUCAUAAUACCAAGUAUUUCUUUAAUUUCUUCCGGCUGUUUGAUUGAGGACGAACAUCUAUGGAUCGGAGGUUCAAAUCAUGUUCUACUAUAACUCCUACUACAUCCCCUAGUCUAUUGGAUGUGCAAAAUCACAACUUUAGUACCCUGGUAGAUAGGCUUACAAGUUUACCUGACGAACUGGUAAUUCGAAUCCUUUCCUUGCUUCCUACCAAGGAUGCCGCUGCUACAUCCAUAUUGUCUAGGAAAUUGAGGCGUGUUUUCUCUUAUAUUACGUCCCUUGACUUUGACGUCUCGCCUAUAAAUCUUUGUUUGGAACACCCCUAUGCAGUUCAACGUUACCCCACUUUUGUGAAGUUUGUUGACACUAUCCUCCAAGCAUACAAGUCUAAGUAUCUCACGAGAUUUAGACUUCAAGUUGGCAGCAGCGACUUUGAGAAUGUCUAUUUCUUUGGCUGUUGUUCUAAUCGCUUUAAGCAAGGCUGUCUCCCUGACUUGAAAGUUGCUCAUGUUGAUGCGUGGAUUUCCUUCCCGUUGACGUUUUGUGGCCUUCGGGAGCUCGACCUCUGUAUUCUGUUGAGGAACCCAGGGGAUGCUCUGCUGCCCCCAGCUAUAUUCACUUGUAAAACGUUAGAAGUGUUGAAGCUUGAGGUCAAUAUUGGUCUUGAUGAAGUUAUCACCAUGCCAUCUUAUUGCCUCCCAAGCUUGAAACUGCUCCUCUUGUCCAUGUCUUUUAUUUCUGCGAUGGCUUCCUGCCAAGGCUAGUAUCAAGUUGCCCUGUCCUAGAAGACCUCACAUUUGAAGUUUCUACAAGCCAUGUCCAUCACACAACUGUCUUCUCGACUUCCCUUAGGAGAUUGUGUUUACGAAUGCAUAAACUUGAUACUGUGUUCUUAGAUAACACUGACACAGUGCUUAUGGAUACUCCUAAUUUGGAGUACCUUGAUUACUUGGAUAAUGUAGCACACAAGUACUCAAUCCCAAUAAUGCAUCGUCUUGUUGAAGCAAAACUAAAUAUUCUACAUAUCUUACAAUUUGAAGAAAUUGAGGUGUCUUUUCAGAUAUACUUAGCCUCAUCAGAGCCUAUUCUCAUGUUCAACAUAUAUCCUUGUUAGGCUUCAUGUUGUGGGAGUUUGAAUAUGCUGGUGAGAAGGUCUUAAACGAUCAACUGCCAACGUUUCCGAAUUUAAAACGUCUUGAGCUGCGAUGUGGUGUUGAAAACUUUUUUUGGGAUAAAUUGAUCCUACCCUUUCUCAACUGUUCACCUGCUUUAGAAACACUUGUUUUUACAGAGGGACUCACUUUGUAUUAUGAAGAUGGAGAUGGGUGCUUUGAUGGCAAGCUACUGGAGUUGGAACGAGAUUUUUUUAGAACAGAUCAUGCUAUUCCUUCAUGUUGCAGAUCUGAUAUCAGUUGAGAACACAUUGAACAAUUUACCAAAAGCCUCAGUUACCUGUUCAAUACAAGUGUCAUGAUCACCAAUUUAUUUGCACAUUGCAAAAAAUAACACUAGUUCUCUCAAUGCAUCUGGAAAGCUUCUAACUUGGGCAUAGUGGUUCAGCCGAGUUCAGUCUCGUUUGCGGAUUGGUUCUUCAACUGGUUCUUAUAUUUGAGCUCGACGAACUUCAAGGAGUUUCAAUUUUACAGAUGCAGUGGAGGUGGUUAAUUUUUUGCUUAAUCCCAAUAGAGUUCCCAUGGAACUCUCCUCUUAUGGUUGCUGAUAUUAUCCAUGUUGCUCUUUUGUAGGAUAGUUAAAGUUUAUAAGGAUUGUGCUAUUGGGGCCCAUGUACUAGCUACUGACACUAGGAAAGUGUUGUACUCCCUCCGUCCUUUUGCCCCAUUUACCUCAAAAAGCUCUCACAUAUUAGACUAUGUAAAUUAAAUAUGUUAAUGUUUAAUUUAAUUAGUUAAGUUGUUAGUUAGUUUCCUAAAUUAAUGGCUUGUAAUCUUAGCUUGUAACCUAGUAUAUAUACUUACUUUGUAGUAAAUGAUAUUCAAGGAAUAUAAUUCUUUCAUGGUAUCAGAUUAGGGUUUCGAUUU